GACGGAGCUCGCGUUUUCACACAAACCCCCCUUUUACAGAGAUGUACGUAAUGACCUCAUGUAUGCGAUUAACCCGCAAUCAAUACAACUUUCAACAACGGAUCUCUUGGUCUCUCGCAUCAGUAUGAAGAACGCAGCGAAAUGUCGAUACGCUANUGUGAAUUGAAGAAUUCNGUGAAUCAUCNAAUCUUUGAACGCACCUUGCGCCCCUUGGUAUUCCGAGGGGCACACCCGUUUGANUGUCGUGAAAACCUCAACCUCCUUGGUUUCUUCUGGAGACCAAAUCAUGCUUGGACUUUGGAGGCCUUUGCUGGCACCUCUCUUUUUGAAGGCCAGCUCCUCUUAAACNAAUUAAGCAGAGGAUACCUCUUUGCUGAUCCUCGACGUGUGAUAAGAUGUUUCCAUGUCUUGGUUUCUGGCUCUGUCACCUUUGGGACCUGCUUCUAACUGUCCGGACCUUGCGUCGAGACAACGUUCGAGCAUGUGCCUCCCUUCUUGGGAAGCUCCCUCGACCCCACGAACCCUUGACCUCAAAUCGGGUGAGACUACCCGCUGAACUUA
rnacentral:rRNA from 1 species